rnacentral:tmRNA from 1 species
GGGGACGAAAGGUUUCGACCGGGCAAGUUGAGGUGAGAGUUGCGCACCGAGGUUGUCAGGAGGCCUCGUAAAACACCUGGCAAAACCAUUAAAUGCUGAACCUGUUCAGCUAAGAAUGGCCGCCUAAGCGCGGUCACGUUCUUCUGGUCUUGCCUGCGAGGCUGGAAAGAACGACCACAGCAGGCUGGCCUUGUUCGUGUGCUGAGCGCGGACGAGGUGAGAUCCUAAGCUGAGCUGGCGCUUGAUCGAGCCUGUCGGCCGGCGCGGUCAAGGGCGAGACCCAUAAACCGACUACGUGCGUAGAUACUCUCGCUGAUCGGCCUCGGGACGCGGGUUCGAUUCCCGCCGUCUCCACCA